CAGCCGCCGCGGGAAUACGUAGGGUGCAAGCGUUAAUCGGAAUUACUGGGCGUAAAGCGUGCGCAGGCGGUUAUAUAAGUCAGAUGUGAAAUCCCCGGGCUCAACCUGGGAACUGCAUUUGAGACUGUAUGGCUAGAGUGUGUCAGAGGGGGGUAGAAUUCCACGUGUAGCAGUGAAAUGCGUAGAUAUGUGGAGGAAUACCGAUGGCGAAGGCAGCCCACUGGGAUAACACUGACGCUCAUGCACGAAAGCGUGGGGAGCAAACAGGAUUAGAUACCCCCGUAGUCCCUGUCUCUUAUAC
rnacentral:rRNA from 1 species